UUAAGGAUAACCCGACAGGUUUCAUCCAUUUAGAAAUCAAAAAAUAAAAUAAUACAUGUCAAUGUUUUCAAUUGCAGACAUUUUGCUAGCGUUAGCAUGCUAAUAUGGUCUCAAAGCAGAACAAUAAAUCCAGCUUUACGUCUGUUACCUUGUUGUCUUCCAAAGACAGGCCGCCUGCUGCCAACAGGAAUCUUCUGGACAGAAAAUCAACAGUUCUACACAGAAUGAGACGUGCUGUGAUAAAGUGUUUGGUUUUAGUUCCCUUCGGGUCGCGGAGUUUGAGUCCAAACUGCUUUUCAAACCGGGAAGUGACGGGAGAACAAAACGGUUUCUGAAGAUGAACGUCAACCAACACGCCGUCCUGUUUGGAGAAUCUGCAGAAAAAUGGGUGAAAUCCUCCAAACAAACCGUUUUUAGUGUUCUUCUGAGGAAACGUGCAGAAGGAUGUCCUUUUUCUUUUCCUGGCCGUCUCCGUUUCAGACUUCCUGUCCCACGCCGUGCAUCCUCUGAGCGGCUCCUUGAUCGGAGCGACCGGGAUCAUCCCAAACCCGUCCUCAGUGAUGCUUGGAGACGGUCAUCAGAUCCAACAGAUCUUUGCUCUCCGUUUGGUCUCACAUGAACUCAUGUCUUGAUAAAAUAAAAACUACUGAA